rnacentral:tmRNA from 1 species
GGGGGCGUAAAGGUUUCGACGGGGAUUUUGCAGCAUAAUAAGCGAGUAGAGGGCGCACCAACUCUUUAAUCGGGUGUAACCUAAAUAUAAACGCUAGAAAUAGUAUAACAGUAAGCCACAACAAUGGCUUACAGCUUCAGGCAGCCUAGUCUCCCUGAUCGUUCCUUAUAAGAGUACCGCGGCUUAUAACGAGCGCUAAUUUAGCGGUCAACGAUUAUCGUGUUUGCUCUGGCAUGGUAAUCGUACUAUAGAGCUACCGGGAUCUUCAGCAUGUCCACCUGCGGGAGUUUCCGGGAAUUUAAAUGAUGGACUACACUCGUAGAAAGUUAUGUGAAUAGAUUUUCGGACACGGGUUCAAUUCCCGUCGCCUCCACCA